CCCCCGGUGCUGGCCUUCAUGGGGCACUAAGUGAGCUUCUCCCGGGCACCCGUGGGGGCCUAGGAGACCGGGCAUAUGUCGUCAGAAAGGGGCGGCAUAUGUUUCCACGAGUCAGGAAGUCUCGUGGACAGUAUUGGCCGAAAGGCUGAUAUUGCGGGUCGACGUCGGGGUCGAGGUUCGUAUGAGGGCGAUCCUUAUGCCAUCGGCGUUAGACAAACAUGUGGGCUUACGGAAGAUAUGUCGGGACCUCGUGGUGCUCAUUGGCCACGGAGCAAGCGACG
rnacentral:lncRNA from 1 species